GACGUAGGGGGCAAGCGUUGUUCGGAAUUAUUGGGCGUAAAGCGCUCGUAGGCGGGACUGGAAGUCCGUGUUGAAAGACCUCGGCUCAACUGAGGGACCGGCGCGGAUACUCUAGUUCUUGAGGCAAUCAGAGGGUGAUGGAAUUCCCAGUGUAGAGGUGAAAUUCGUAGAUAUUGGGAAGAACACCGGUGGCGAAGGCGGCGACCUGGUCCGAAACUGACGCUGAGGCGCGAAAGCGUGGGGAGCAAACAGG
rnacentral:rRNA from 1 species